rnacentral:rRNA from 1 species
UACGUAGGGUGCGAGCGUUGUCCGGAAUUACUGGGCGUAAAGAGCUCGUAGGUGGUUUUGUCGCGUUGUCCGUGAAAAACUCACAACUCAAUUGUGGGCGUGCGGGCGAUACGGGCAGACUGGAGUACUGCAGGGGAGACUGGAAUUCCUGGUGUAGCGGUGGAAUGCGCAGAUAUCAGGAGGAACACCAGUGGCGAAGGCGGGCAUCUGGGCCAACACUGACGCUGAGGCGCGAAAGCUAGGGGAGCAAACAGG